CAGCCGCCGCGGUAAUACGGAGGGUGCAAGCAUUAAUCGGAAUUACUGGGCGUAAAGCGCACGCAGGCGGUUUGUUAAGUCAGAUGUGAAAUCCCCGAGCUUAACUUGGGAACUGCAUUUGAAACUGGCAAGCUAGAGUCUUGUAGAGGGGGGUAGAAUUCCAGGUGUAGCGGUGAAAUGCGUAGAGAUCUGGAGGAAUACCGGUGGCGAAGGCGGCCCCCUGGACAAAGACUGACGCUCAGGUGCGAAAGCGUGGGGAGCAAACAGGAUUAGAUACCCCGGUAGUCCCUGUCUCUUAUAC
rnacentral:rRNA from 1 species